GGAAGUAAAAGUCGUAACGAGGUUUCCGUAGGUGAACCUGCGGAAGGAUCAUUAUUGUAUAACCGAGGUGCGAGGGCUGUCGCUGACCCGAAAGGUCGUGCACGCCCGAGUGCCCUCACACACAUCCAUCUCACCCCUAUGUGCACCACCGCGUGGGUCCCCCUUUGGCUUGUUCGGAGGGGGGCUUACGUUUUCACACAAACUCUGUAUGCAGUGUAGAAUGUAUUUUUUGUUUUUGCGAUCACGCAAUCAAUACAACUUUCAACAACGGAUCUCUUGGCUCUC
rnacentral:misc_RNA from 1 species